rnacentral:rRNA from 1 species
GGAAGUAAAAGUCGUAACAAGGUUUCCGUAGGUGAACCUGCGGAAGGAUCAUUAUUGAAAUAAACCUGAUGGGUUGUUGCUGGUUCUCUAGGGAGCAUGUGCACACCUUGUCAUCUUUAUAUCUCCACCUGUGCACUUUUUGUAGACCUUUUCAGGUCUAUGUUGCCUCAUUUUACCCCAAUGUAUGUCAAUAGAAUGUUGUGCCUAUAUAUAAUAUAUACAACUUUCAGCAACGGAUCUCUUGGCUCUCGCAUCGAUGAAGAACGCAGCGAAAUGCGAUAAGUAAUGUGAAUUGCAGAAUUCAGUGAAUCAUCGAAUCUUUGAACGCACCUUGCGCUCCUUGGUAUUCCGAGGAGCAUGCCUGUUUGAGUGUCAUUAAUAUAAUCAACCUUCUCUUUUUUUGAGAAUGGUUUGGAUGUGGGGGAUUUGCUGGCCUCUCUCAAAAGGUUCAGCUCCCCUGAAAUGCAUUAGCAGAACAACCUUUGCUCAUUGGUGUGAUAACUAUCUACGCUUAUGAAUAUGAGGGGCAGUUCAGCUUUCUAACGGUCUUUGGACAAUUCAUCAUUAAUGUGACCUCAAAUCAGGUAGGACUACCCGCUGAACUUAAGCAUAU